CUCUCUGAACUGUGAUGGACUGUAUAAUGAAAAUAAACGGGGGAGAAGGCAGAAGAAUGAACACUAUGGUCCAUGGCCAGGAAUGGCAAGCUCCUAGUCAAAGCGUAGAGGCCAUGAUGCCAAAAACUCCCACAUUCAUCAUGUAUAUGAAAUAAGGGUUUGCUCCUUUCUGCAAAGUUAUGUAGCUGUGCUGGCUUCUGUGGCCUCAUCUGUUACUGGGAGAGAGCAUUCUGAAGUUCUUCACAGUCUUGCUGGGAUUUCACUGUUGUGAAUAGUUCUGUGUCGUGACCAUGGGCCGGUCACUGCCUCUAAGCCUCAGAGGCAGGCAAUGGUAAACCCCGUCUGAAUACUGCUUACCAUGAAACCCCUAUUCAUAGGGUCGCCAUAAGUCGGGAUCGACUUGAAGGCAGUCCAUUUCCAUUUUCUUGGUUUACUUCU